UAGCUGCAUACCAAUGAGGAACUGAA
rnacentral:piRNA from 1 species